GAGCUGCAGGUGAAAGCCUUCUGUAUUUCAGCAGAGCAGCCAGCUUUUCAAUCAUGGCGAGGUUCCGAUAAAUUGAAAGUUAAGGGAUGGUAUACGUGGAACAAAAUUCCUAUUGGGAGAGCAUUCCAAGGUGGAAACUGUGGGGUACACAGACACAAAAUCUACAGAGAAAAAUGCUGCUGUUAGGUGCUGUUUUGAGCCUGCCAGUUCUUAGGAGUCAAGGUCAGAAGAAAAUGAAGCAACACAAAUCAAACAUUCAUUAAAACUAGCUCUUCAAGGCAUACAUGCAGACUGUGAGACUUUUUUUUUUUGUUGCACUAGCAGGUGCUGCUUAGUUUUUUUUUUUAUAUGUCUUUGAGAGUCUAGUGGCCAAGAUGAAUGGAGAAAAAUCACCAAGCUGCUUAAGGAAAAGCAUCACCACCUGAUUGUUCCUCUCGAGCAGCUUUGAAGAUACAUCCCACUCUCUGAUAAAAAAGCAGGAAGUUAUAACAAGGUUGCAUGCCUUCUUCUGGAGGAAAGCUUUAUUUAGAUUCUUGUACUCUGUGGCAAAGCUGUAAGUGCAAUUAUCACACAAACAUCAAUCGAAUUCAGGCUAGACUUAGAUCAGCAAAUUGUAUAGAGAAACAAACCU